rnacentral:lncRNA from 1 species
AAAAUUUAACUUUCGGCAUUUCAAGCCUAAUUCCACUACGGACCUCCAAAUAAUUUUCCGAACACGCUCCUAAGUCCAAAAUCACCAUACAGAGCUAUUGGAAUCAUCAGAAUUAAAUUACAAGGUCGUUUACACAUAAGUUGACAUCCAGUCACUAUUUUAACUUAAGCUUUAAACCUUGGAACUAAGUGUUCCAAUUCAUUUCAAAACCUCAUCGGACCCGAACCAAUUACCCCAGCAAUUCACACAAUAACUGUAAAGUACAAUUUGAGCAGUAAAGGGGAAAGCGGGGUUGUAAUACUCAAAAUGGCCGGCCGGAUCGUUACAUCAACUGUGCGAUGGAAUCAACACCUACUGUGUCCGGGAAUACCUGGAUCUGCACACGAAGUGCAGGGUGUAGUAUGAGUACAACCAACUUAGUAAGUAACACUAUUAAAUAAAGAACUGAAGAUAGUGACGAGCUUCACUACUAAGUCCAAAUACAGUAAUUUUCAACAUAUAAGGGUAGGCAUGCUCUCAAGUUCAACAUUUAAAAUUUCACAGUAAUUUCAUAUCAACUUCGACUGAAACAGAAGAUAAUGUCUUUUAGAAAUUUCUAAAACAGUGAUAUAUGACCGUUGAAAUGCAAUAAUAAUGAAAUCAACGCAUCCUCUCCGAGUAACAGUCACCCAGUCCUCUCAUUGACUCCAACCUUACAGUCACUCUUUCCUCAUAGUCACUAAUUCCUCACAGUCACUCAUUCCUCUCAACACUCAGCUUUCGGCACUCGACACUUGCACUCAGUAGGUACCUUUGCUCACUGGGGGGUGUACAGACUCCGAAGGGGCUCCUUCAGCCAAAGCGCUAUAACAAGCUAAUCAUGGCAUAAAUCAAUAAAACAUGAUGUGACNNNNNNNNNNNNNNNNNNNNNNNNNAACCCAACAUCAAUGAUAUGAUGCAUCAAUAAUGAAUUAUAGAGACUGAGAUAAAAUGUACAAAUAAAAGUGUGACUGAGUGUAAAAUAAUAAUUUAGCAGAUAAUUCCAAAAGUACACGAUAUUUGUGGGUCCAAACAGUUUAAACACAUGAUUUAAAUAUGAUUUAUAAUUCAAUUUCUCUAAUACGUGGAAAAUGUACGGAUAUCAACAGAUUAUUCAACUGCACAGUUCCAUGAAAUCGACCAAGUCACAAUUCCUACGGUGCACGCCCACACGCCCAUCAUCUAGCAUGUGCGCCACCUCAAAACCAAUAAUAUAACACAUAAUCUGGGGUUUCAUACCCUCAAGUCCAAAUUUAGAACUGUUACUUACCUCAAAACGUGUAAUUCUUUAUUCUGUAAUACCUUUGCCUCGCGAAUCGACCUCCAAACGCCUCGAAUCUAGCCACAAAUAGUUCAAUUCAGUCAAUACAAAUUAUAGAAAUUAAUUCCAUAUGAAAAUAUAAAUUUUCCUAAAAAAUCCGAAAUUGUACUCAAAAAUCAUCCGUGGGGCCCACGUAUUGGAACCCGACAAGAGUUACAAAAUAUGAAUGCCCAUUCAUCCACGAGUCCAACCAUACUAAAUUUACCAAAUUCCGACAACAACUCCACUUUCAAAUCCUCAAAUCUUAUUUUUAAAUCCCUAGGCCCAAAUCCUCUAAUUUCACCUCAAAAAUACGUAAUCUAGUCGAAAUACUCAAUGAUAAUCCAAUAAAUGCUUCUUAUAUUUUACCUUAUACACUUCUUUCUUCCAACUUCAAGAAGCAUAUUAAUAAUAACACAACAACAACCUCAAGAAUAUGUAGGAGAGAUAGAAUCUUACAUUAAUAAACUAUGACCUGCCAAUUAUGCUCCAAACAGUCAUGCCAUAAGCAGCUACGACAAGCUAAUCUAUGAGAGAUGGAGGGAUAAAUUCUCUAUUAUGAUUUUG